rnacentral:rRNA from 1 species
UGGGGAAUUUUCCGCAAUGGGCGAAAGCCUGACGGAGCAAUACCGCGUGAGGGAGGAAGGCUCUUGGGUUGUAAACCUCUUUUCUCAAGGAAUAAGAUAUGAAGGUACUUGAGGAAUAAGCAUCGGCUAACUCCGUGCCAGCAGCCGCGGUAAUACGGAGGAUGCAAGCGUUAUCCGGAAUGAUUGGGCGUAAAGCGUCCGUAGGUGGUUUUGUGUGUCUGCUGUUAAAGCGUGCGGCUUAACCGCAUAAGGGCGGUGGAAACUACAAGACUAGAGUACGUUCGGGGCAGGGGGAAUUCCCAGUGUAGCGGUGAAAUGCGUAGAGAUUGGGAAGAACACCGGUGGCGAAAGCGCCCUGCUAGGCCGUAACUGACACUGAGGGACGAAAGCUAGGGGAGCGAAUGGGAUUAGAUACCCCAGUAGUCCUAGCCGUAAACGAUGGAUACUAGGCGUUGGUAGUAUCGACCCUACCAGUGCCGUAGCUAACGCGUUAAGUUCCCGCCUGGGAGA